GGUGUGUGUAUAUGUAUUUGUCCAACUGUUAGACAAAGGCAUGAAAGACGGGUGCAAAAAUAAUUCUUUUUUUUUGUAACCUUGAACUCGUUGUUCAGUUUUGAUACAUACAAGAAAGAAUAUG